GGAAUUUUGGACAUGGGCGCAGCCUGAUCCAGCAAUGCCGCGUGAGUGAAGAAGGCCUUCGGGUUGUAAAGCUCUUUUGUCAGGGAAGAAACGGUGGACUCUAAUACAGAUCACUAAUGACGGUACCUGAAGAAUAAGCACCGGCUAACUACGUG
rnacentral:rRNA from 1 species